CGUAGGUCCGAGCGUUGUCCGGAAUUACUGGGCGUAAAGAGCUCGUAGGUGGUUUGUCGCGUUGUUCGUGAAACUCACAGCUUAACUGUGGGCGUGCGGGCGAUACGGGCAGACUGGAGUACUGCAGGGGAGACUGGAAUUCCUGGUGUAGCGGUGGAAUGCGCAGAUAUCAGGAGGAACACCGGUGGCGAAGGCGGGUCUCUGGGCAGUAACUGACGCUGAGGAGCGAAAGCGUGGGGGAGCGAACAGGAUU
rnacentral:rRNA from 1 species